GUGAGGGAGGGGGUGACUAGUGACAGAGUGAAAAAGGGGGUGACUAGUGACAGAGGGAGGGGUGACUAGGGACAGAGUGAGGGAGGUGGUGACUAGUGACAGUCACCACCUCCCUCUCUGUCACCAGUCAUCCCCUCACUCUGUCCCUAGUCACCCCUUCCUUCCCUCACUCUGCCACUAGUUACCCCUUCCCUCACUCUGUCACCGCCUCACUCUGUCACUAGUCACCCCCUCACUCUGUCAC